rnacentral:rRNA from 1 species
UGGGCGAAAGCCUGACGGAGCAAUACCGCGUGAGGGAAGAAAGCCUACUGGGUUGUAAACCUCUUUUUUCAGGGAGGAAAAAAAUGACGUGUACCUGAAGAAUAAGCAUCGGCUAACUCCGUGCCAGCAGCCGCGGUAAGACGGAGGAUGCAAGUGUUAUCCGGAAUUACUGGGCGUAAAGCGUCUGUAGGUGGUUUAAUAAGUCAACUGUUAAAUCUUGAGGCUUAACUUCAAAACAGCAGUCGAAACUAUUAGACUAGAGUAUAGUAGGGGUAAAGGGAAUUUCCAGUGGAGCGGUGAAAUGCGUAGAUAUUGGAAAGAACACCGAUGGCGAAAGCACUUUACUGGGCUAUUACUAACACUCAGAGACGAAAGCUAGGGUAGCAAAUGGGAUUAGAUACCCCAGUAGUCCUAGCUGUAAACAAUGGAUACUAGAUGUUGAACAGAUCGACCUGUGCAGUAUUAAAGCUAACGCGUUAAGUAUCCCGCCUG